UACGGAGGGUGCAAGCGUUAAUCGGAAUUACUGGGCGUAAAGCGUACGCAGGCGGUCAUUCAAGUCAGAUGUGAAAUCCCCGAGCUUAACUUGGGAACUGCAUCUGAGACUGCAUGGCUAGAGUCUUGUAGAGGGGGAUAGAAUUCCAUGUGUAGCAGUGAAAUGCGUAGAGAUGUGGAGGAAUACCAAUGGCGAAGGCAACCCCCUGGACAAAGACUGACGCUCAUGUGCGAAAGCGUGGGGAGCAAACAGG
rnacentral:rRNA from 1 species